GAUGAAGAACGCAGCAAAAUGCGAUAAGUAAUGUGAAUUGCAGAAUUCAGUGAAUCAUCGAAUCUUUGAACGCACAUUGCGCCCUUUGGUAUUCCAAAGGGCAUGCCUGUUCGAGCGUCAUUUGUACCUUCAAGCUUUGCUUGGUGUUGGGCGUUUUUUGUCUCCCUCUUUCUGGGAGACUCGCCUUAAAACGAUUGGCAGCCGGCCUACUGGUUUCGGAGCGCAGCACAUAUUUUGCGCUUUGUAUCAGGAGAAAAGGACGGUAAUCCAUCAAGACUUCUACAUUUUUAACUUUUGACCUCGGAUCAGGUAGGGAUACCCGCUGAACUUAAGCAUAUCAAUAAGCGGAGGA
rnacentral:misc_RNA from 1 species